rnacentral:ncRNA from 2 species
AACGCGCUCCGGGGUCAGUGCAAAUCUGAACCGGCGGUCACAGUCCGCGACCCGAGGCCUCUCGUCACCGAGGGGCCGAGGUUGAACCGGUGGAAUCCCGGUACCGACGGUCAUAGUCCGGAUGAGAGGCAGCGCGGG